rnacentral:rRNA from 1 species
GUACUCCGGGGAUAACAGGCUGAUACCGCCCAAGAGUUCAUAUCGACGGCGGUGUUUGGCACCUCGAUGUCGGCUCAUCACAUCCUGGGGCUGAAGUAGGUCCCAAGGGUAUGGCUGUUCGCCAUUUAAAGUGGUACGCGAGCUGGGUUUAGAACGUCGUGAGACAGUUCGGUCCCUAUCUGCCGUGGGCGCUGGAGAACUGAGGGGGGCUGCUCCUAGUACGAGAGGACCGGAGUGGACGCAUCACUGGUGUUCGGGUUGUCAUGCCAAUGGCACUGCCCGGUAGCUAAAUGCGGAAGAGAUAAGUGCUGAAAGCAUCUAAGCACGAAACUUGCCCCGAGAUGAGUUCUCCCUGACCCUUUAAGGGUCCUGAAG